rnacentral:rRNA from 1 species
CGAACGGAGCUAGACGCUGAUGAAUAGCUUGCUAGGAAUCUUGUUUAGCUUAGUGGCGGACGGGUGAGUAACGCGUGAGCAACCUGCCUUUCAGAGGGGGAUAACGUUUGGAAACGAACGCUAAUACCGCAUGAUAUUAAAGGGCUGCAUGGCCUGAUAAUCAAAGGAGCAAUCCGCUGAAAGAUGGGCUCGCGUCCGAUUAGGUAGUUGGUGAGGUAACGGCCCACCAAGCCGACGAUCGGUAGCCGGACUGAGAGGUUGAACGGCCACAUUGGGACUGAGACACGGCCCAGACUCCUACGGGAGGCAGCAGUGAGGGAUAUUGGUCAAUGGGGGAAACCCUGAACCAGCAACGCCGCGUGAGGGAAGACGGUUUUCGGAUUGUAAACCUCUGUCCUCUGUGAAGAUGAUGACGGUAGCAGAGGAGGAAGCUCCGGCUAACUACGUGCCAGCAGCCGCGGUAAUACGUAGGGAGCGAGCGUUGUCCGGAUUUACUGGGUGUAAAGGGUGCGUAGGCGGCUUAGCAAGUCAGAAGUGAAAUCCAUGGGCUUAACCCAUGAACUGCUUUUGAAACUGCUAAGCUUGAGUGGAGUAGAGGUAGGCGGAAUUCCCGGUGUAGCGGUGAAACGCGUAGAGAUCGGGAGGAACACCAGUGGCGAAGGCGGCCUACUGGGCUCUAACUGACGCUGAGGCACGAAAGCGUGGGUAGCAAAAAAGAUUGGAUACCCUGGUAGUCCCUGCUGUAAAACGAUGAUUAAGGAGGUGUGGGUGGACUGACCCCAUCCGUGCCGGAGUUAACACAAUAAGUAAUCCACCUGGGGAGUACGGCCGCAAGGCUGAAACUCAAAGGAAUUGACGGGGGCCCGCACAAGCAGUGGAGUAUGUGGAUUAAUUCGAUGCAACGCGAAGAACCUUACCAGGUCUUGACAUCCCGCUAACGAAGUAGAGAUACAUUAGGUGCCCUUCGGGGAAAGCGGAGACAGGUGGUGCAUGGUUGUCGUCAGCUCGUGUCGUGAGAUGUUGGGUUAAGUCCCGCAACGAGCGCAACCCUUACUGUUAGUUGCUACGCAAGAGCACUCUAGCAGGACCGCCGUUGACAAAACGGAGGAAGGUGGGGAUGAUGUCAAAUCAUCAUGCCCCUUAUGACCUGGGCCUCACACGUACUACAAUGGCCAUUAACAGAGGGAAGCAAAGCCGCGAGGCAGAGCAAAACCCCAAAAAUGGUCUCAGUUCGGAUCGCAGGCUGCAACCCGCCUGCGUGAAGUUGGAAUUGCUAGUAAUCG